AACUGAGGAUAAUACUGGAUAGGCAAUUAUUUCUGCAAUGGUUUUUUGUUUAAAUGUUUUUUCGCCUAAGGAUGGGUCUGCGGCCGAUUAGGUAGUUGGUUAGGUAAAGGCUUACCAAGCCGUUGAUCGGUACGGGUUGUGAGAGCAAGAGCCCGGAGAUGGAACCUGAGACAAGGUUCCAGGCCCUACGGGGUGCAGCAGGCGCGAAACCUCCGCAAUGUGAGAAAUCGCGACGGGGGGAUCCCAAGUGCCAUUCUUAACGGGAUGGCUUUUCAUUAGUGUAAAGAGCUUUUGGAAUAAGGGCUGGGCAAGACCGGUGCCAGCCGCCGCGGUAACACCGGCAGCUCUAGUGGUAGCAGUUUUUAUUGGGCCUAAAGCGUCCGUAGCCGGUUUAAUAAGUCUCUGGUGAAAUCCUGUAGCUUAACUGUGGGAAUUGCUGGAGAUACUAUUAGACUUGAGACCGCGAGAGGUUAGAGGUACUCC
rnacentral:rRNA from 1 species